UGGGGAAUAUUGGACAAUGGGCGCAAGCCUGAUCCAGCCAUGCGCGUGAGUGAUGAAGGCCCUAGGGUUGUAAAGCUCUUUCACCGGUGAAGAUAAUGACGGUAACCGGAGAAGAAGCCCCGGCUAACUUCGUGCCAGCAGCCGCGGUAAUACGAAGGGGGCUAGCGUUGUUCGGAUUUACUGGGCGUAAAGCGCACGUAGGCGGACUUUUAAGUCAGGGGUGAAAUCCCGGGGCUCAACCCCGGAACUGCCUUUGAUACUGGAAGUCUUGAGUAUGGUAGAGGUGGGUGGAAUUCCGAGUGUAGAGGUGAAAUUCGUAGAUAUUCGGAGGAACACCAGUGGCGAAGGCGGCUCACUGGACCAUUACUGACGCUGAGGUGCGAAAGCGUGGGGAGCAAACAGG
rnacentral:rRNA from 1 species